UACGUAGGGUGCGAGCGUUGUCCGGAAUUAUUGGGCGUAAAGAGCUCGUAGGCGGUCUGUCGCGUCGAAUGUGAAAACCCGGGGCUCAACUCCGGGCUUGCAUUCGAUACGGGCAGGCUAGAGUUCGGUAGGGGAGUCUGGAAUUCCUGGUGUAGCGGUGAAAUGCGCAGAUAUCAGGAGGAACACCGGUGGCGAAGGCGGGACUCUGGGCCGACACUGACGCUGAGGAGCGAAAGCGUGGGGAGCGAACAGG
rnacentral:rRNA from 1 species